GGUUGAGGUAGGGGGGUUCCGGCAGGGUUGGCCGCUAUUUGAAGCCCCCUCGACAUGCAGGUCACGCCACCGCGGAGGAUCCGCGCGGCCGUUUCCAACUCUUGGUGGAGUCCGGCUCCGUCACGAGGUAGGAGAAAGGCCUGACGAGUGGGCCCGAGUUGUCAGUGGAAGAGAGAAGGUGGGGCCAAGCUGUCAGCGUGUGCAGCGAGGGAGGGGAAGGAAGCGCGUAUGGCCUGCUGGGCUGAUCAGCCAGGUGGGCUGAGGAAGGAGUUGGGCCGAGCAAGGGGUGUUGGGAAGGAUCUGGGCCUUCGGGCUGAAAAUAGAGCGGGAGAGUUCUUCUUUUUUUUUAUUCUAUUAUUUCAAAGCCUAUUUAAAAACCAAUUUGAAAACCAUUUUGAGACCAGUUUGAAUUAUCCUAAAUUUUGAUCAAAUUCACACAAUACAAUAAAACAUAUGCACCAUUAUGAAUGCACAAUCAUGUUGCUAGACCCUAUAAUAUAUUUUAAUUUAAUGAAAAAUAUUAUUUUCCCUAUGUUUUAUGAGC
rnacentral:lncRNA from 1 species